UAGUCCACACCGUAAACGAUGAGAGCUAGUUGUCUGCAGGCAUGCCUGUAGGUGACGCAGCUAACGCAUUAAGCUCUCCGCCUGGGGAGUACGGUCGCAAGAUUAAAACUCAAAGAAAUUGACGGGGGCCCGCACAAGCGGUGGAGCAUGUGGUUUAAUUCGAAGCAACGCGCAGAACCUUACCUACCCUUGACAUGCCGGUCGCGAUUUCCAGAGAUGGAUUUCUUCAAUUCGGUUGGACCGUGCACAGGUGCUGCAUGGCUGUUGUCAGCUCGUGUCGUGAGAUGUUGGGUUAAGUCCCGCAACGAGCGCAACCCUUAUCGUAUGUUGCCAGCAUUUAGUUGGGCACUCGUGCGAGACUGCCGGUGAUAAGCCGGAGGAAGGGCGGGGGACGACGUCAAGGUCAUCAUGGGCCCUUAGUGUAGGGGCUACAAACGUGCUACAAUGGAUAUGACAGUGGGCAGGCCACUCCGCGAGG
rnacentral:rRNA from 1 species